AGAGUUUGAUCCUGGCUCAGAACGAACGCUGGCGGCGUGGAUAAGACAUGCAAGUCGAACGAGAGAAUUGCUAGCUUGCUAAUAAUUCUCUAGUGGCGCACGGGUGAGUAACACGUGAGUAACCUGCCCCCGAGAGCGGGAUAGCCCUGGGAAACUGGGAUUAAUACCGCAUAGUAUCGAAAGAUUAAAGCAGCAAUGCGCUUGGGGAUGGGCUCGCGGCCUAUUAGUUAGUUGGUGAGGUAACGGCUCACCAAGGCGAUGACGGGUAGCCGGUCUGAGAGGAUGUCCGGCCACACUGGAACUGAGACACGGUCCAGACACCUACGGGUGGCAGCAGUCGAGAAUCAUUCACAAUGGGGGAAACCCUGAUGGUGCGACGCCGCGUGGGGGAAUGAAGGUCUUCGGAUUGUAAACCCCUGUCAUGUGGGAGCAAAUUAAAAAGAUAGUACCACAAGAGGAAGAGACGGCUAACUCUGUGCCAGCAGCCGCGGUAAUACAGAGGUCUCAAGCGUUGUUCGGAAUCACUGGGCGUAAAGCGUGCGUAGGCUGUUUCGUAAGUCGUGUGUGAAAGGCGCGGGCUCAACCCGCGGACGGCACAUGAUACUGCGAGACUAGAGUAAUGGAGGGGGAACCGGAAUUCUCGGUGUAGCAGUGAAAUGCGUAGAUAUCGAGAGGAACACUCGUGGCGAAGGCGGGUUCCUGGACAUUAACUGACGCUGAGGCACGAAGGCCAGGGGAGCGAAAGGGAUUAGAUACCCCUGUAGUCCUGGCAGUAAACGGUGCACGCUUGGUGUGCGGGGAAUCGACCCCCUGCGUGCCGGAGCUAACGCGUUAAGCGUGCCGCCUGGGGAGUACGGUCGCAAGAUUAAAACUCAAAGAAAUUGACGGGGACCCGCACAAGCGGUGGAGUAUGUGGCUUAAUUCGAUGCAACGCGAAGAACCUUACCUGGGCUUGACAUGUAAUGAACAACAUGUGAAAGCAUGCGACUCUUCGGAGGCGUUACACAGGUGCUGCAUGGCCGUCGUCAGCUCGUGUCGUGAGAUGUUUGGUUAAGUCCAGCAACGAGCGCAACCCCUGUUGCCAGUUACCAGCACGUGAAGGUGGGGACUCUGGCGAGACUGCCCAGAUCAACUGGGAGGAAGGUGGGGACGACGUCAGGUCAGUAUGGCCCUUAUGCCCAGGGCUGCACACGUACUACAAUGCCCAGUACAGAGGGGGCCGAAGCCGCGAGGCGGAGGAAAUCCUAAAAACUGGGCCCAGUUCGGACUGUAGGCUGCAACCCGCCUACACGAAGCCGGAAUCGCUAGUAAUGGCGCAUCAGCUACGGCGCCGUGAAUACGUUCCCGGGUCUUGUACACACCGCCCGUCA
rnacentral:rRNA from 1 species